rnacentral:rRNA from 1 species
UACGAAGGGGGCUAGCGUUGCUCGGAAUCACUGGGCGUAAAGGGUGCGUAGGCGGGUCUUUAAGUCAGGGGUGAAAUCCUGGAGCUCAACUCCAGAACUGCCUUUGAUACUGAGGAUCUUGAGUACGGGAGAGGUGAGUGGAACUGCGAGUGUAGAGGUGAAAUUCGUAGAUAUUCGCAAGAACACCAGUGGCGAAGGCGGCUCACUGGCCCGUAACUGACGCUGACGGCACGAAAGCGUGGGGGAGCAAACAGG